GCCGCCAUCUUUGCCCUGUGCACUUCCCAAACCGCUCGGGCGGACACUGCAACAGACCCAACCCCAGGUCUGCGUUCCGUCCGCCAUUCUACCGCGUCCCGGGCUGGGCGCCUGGCCAUAGGCCCCGCCCAAUGCGGUGCCACAGGAAAAGUCCUCCGUGCGGGAAACCCAUCCGCCUCGCGCCCUCUGGUGGCCCCUAUAUGAACCUCACCUUAAUGGCUGAAGUAAAAGGUUGAUGGAAGUGAGUAGGGAGGGGCUCGUUUUCCCACAGGAUGAAGGAGUCCCAAAAUCAGAUCCUGCAAAUUACUCAUGGUCUCAUCCCUUUAUUUCGUUAAGUAUUUAUUUGCACAUUAAUUUCCUUUUUGAAGCAUUACACUCUCUAUGGCUUGAUGCUCUUCCAAGUGCUGUGGAAAUAACAGAGAUAAAACAAAUGAAGGAAGAUGAAAUAUUGUAACUUGUUUAGGAGCCCACAGCCCGGAUCUGGGACUGAGAACAAAGCAGAACAGCCCCCAGGCAGGCCAAGGCAGGGCUGUUGUUAAGGCAUUCCUAAGAACAUCUUGGCCGUAAAGAUGAAAAGGUAUUCAAGGACAAAUGGGGCUACAUUAUCUAAGCUAACACCAUCUGGCCAGAAUCACCCCUCAAUCAGGGGACAGGCAGGGCCAUCUUAUCUAAAGUCCACACCAUCUGGCCGGAAUCUUCUUUCUGUCUAUUACCCCUUAGCACCGAGUAAAGUCAUAUACAUCAACUGGUUGUUAGAUAAGUCCCAAGCCCACCGGAACAAAGCUCUGAUGUCCCUUUUUGCUGACAUGUAAUCUUUCUGUUAAUGAAUCAACCCCGUGCCUUUUGUCAAAAUUCCUUGUACUCCCAACCUUUUGCUUCUUUAAAAAUCCCUAGCUUCCGAGCCUCACCAUCGACUCCCCUGCCUCCGGUGUGAGGUACUUGUCGACCCAGAGCUCUGCCAAUAAAGCCUCGUGUGUCUUGC
rnacentral:lncRNA from 1 species